rnacentral:tRNA from 1 species
GCCCAAGUAGCUCAGUUGGUAGAGCAUUCCCAUGGUAAGGGAAAGGUCAGCGGUUCAAGCCCGCUCUUGGGCU